CGAAAACAGAGUAGCAGGGUGGUGAUUCCUGCGCCAAUCAUCAGGUUGGUUCUGCUGGACCGCGG
rnacentral:ncRNA from 1 species